rnacentral:rRNA from 1 species
GACGAACGCUGGCGGCGUGCUUAACACAUGCAAGUCGAACGGAAAGGCCCUGCUUUUGUGGGGUGCUGGAGUGGCGAACGGGUGAGUAACACGUGAGUAACCUGCCCUUGACUUUGGGAUAACUUCAGGAAACUGGGGCUAAUACCGGAUAGGAGCUCCUGCUGCAUGGUGGGGGUUGGAAAGUUUCGGCGGUUGGGGAUGGACUCGCGGCUUAUCAGCUUGUUGGUGGGGUAGUGGCUUACCAAGGCUUUGACGGGUAGCCGGCCUGAGAGGGUGACCGGCCACAGUGGGACUGAGAUACGGCCCAGACUCCUACGGGAGGCAGCAGUGGGGAAUAUUGCACAAUGGGCGGAAGCCUGAUGCAGCAACGCCGCGUGCGGGAUGACGGCCUUUGGGUUGUAAACCGCUUUCGCCUGUGACGAAGCGUGAGUGACGGUAAUGGGUAAAGAAGCACCGGCUAACUACGUG